AUCUUUUUUGGGUUUCCCUCUCACUGCUUUUCACGGUUUAGGGCUUUGCGUUCUUGGCCUCUGCGUUCUUGGCCUCUGCGUUCUCUUUCGCCUUCCUCCUCUGCGUUCCUUGAAGCAACAGAUUUUAUCUUCCAUCAUCGUUCCUUUGAAGCAACAUAUAGAAAGUGACGAAAUUCAGUUCUGAAUUUGCGCGAAGAACCACGUUGAUGAUAUUCACCAAGCAGAUUUCUGCAAAAUAACUCCGGCGAAGUUCUGUGGUUCAAAGGAAAUUGUCGCACUUGAGUUCCGGAAACUACUAAAGGAAAGGAGAAUGUCAAUUAUAACCAAGAUGAUCAAGACUAUGUACCUGAAAAUGAUCAUGACUCUAAUGAUGAUGAGGUGGAGAUUUCUCGAGUGAAAAAGGUGGCAACUGAAGCCACAACCAAUUCCGCAGCAAGAUCUAUACCAAAAAAGAAGGCAAGGACGAGAGAACAACCACCUAGGAAGAAUAAGAAGCAACCAUUGUGCCCAUCUAUGGCAAUGGAUGAUUUCCUUUUGACUGAACAACAAAUGGAUCCCGCUCAAGCACUACAGUUACAACAAGAAGUGCAACGAUUGGAACAAGACCGACAAACAGCUAGGCGCCCACUUUCUACUAUUGUUCCAAUGGAAAACCAAGGAGAAAGUGAUCUCUCACAACAAGGUUAUUGUUUUCAAACUCCACCUUUUUGGUUCAUAUCAUAUAUUUUGUUCUGCUAAGUCUUAUGAUAAAAAUGAAUAAAAGAGGCUUUAUACUGAUGACAAGUCAAAAUAUAACAGCAUGCAAAAGUUGUAUAAUCCACUAUCCCCAUGACUUUUUCAUACAAACAUUUAUCUUAGUUAAAAAAGUGGAAACAUACCAAGGCCGAAAUCACCAAUUUUAAUGUUAUUGCGAGCAUGAAAGAAUAUGUUAUUUGGCGUCAAGUCACGAUGAAUGAUUCCUUGUCCGUGUAUGUGUACUAAUGGAAGGUCCUAAAAAGAAAGGCCGAGGCCCGACAAAUUCGUUUGAUGUCCAUGCUCGCAAAUGGGAAGAGAAAGACAACCAGUUGGACCUGAAAAGGGGAGGAAAGAGCUAACCAGAUUCUUAGGAACCAUUGCUCAUGAUUACAAUUAGGCUCCCUUGACUUAUAUAAAUUGGCAAUCAGUUCCAAAUAAGGAUAAAAUAUGGGAAUUCGUGAAGUAUUUUAGAGUAAGUACAUCCUUCCACCUGAAUCUCAAGAUUGGGUAAUGGAGACCCUUGAUCAAUAUUGGAGAGGAUUCAAAUGUGCGCUGAAAAAAAAACAUUAUUAUAAGUAUGACAAUGUUGAAGAUAGAUUGAAUGAUCUUCCAGAAAGAGUGCCUGAAGAACACUACAAGACGCUCCUAGCUUAUUGGGAGACGACCGCAGUAAAGGUGAUCUUGAUGAAAAAUGAUGGAAAACAAGUGAAUUUGAGCCAAAACAGGGCUUGUGCGGUCGAGUGGCGUUUUGUGCGCCCGAACAGGUAGUGCAAAUGGAGUUCAAGGAAAUUCCAGUUUUGUGCGGUCGAAUGCCCUCUGUCAUUCGGUCGCACAAAACGGAUUUAUGAGACAUAAUGUCCCAAGAUUGUAAAACGACCGCACAACCUUGGUAAUUCGACAGCACAGGUUUUGUUCGACCGCACAACCUAUGUUGUUCGACCGCACAAAAGUUGUGCGCCCAAACGGCUUUCCUUGUUCGACCAAAUGGAGCUGCGAAGGAGACUUGAGCCAAAGGAUUCCCAUUCGACCGAACGGGGUUUUAUGCUCGGUCGCACAAGACGAAGAAAAUGAUCUUCGCUGCCUUCGUUCGCACAGGACCCAGCAUGCGCUCGAAUGACUCUUUUACGUUCGGUCGCACAAAAGGUCUGUGCGACCGAAUCGCUGAGCGGGCUGCUCUUUUUCGAACUUUGGCUUCUAUUUGAGGAAACUUAUAAAUAGAUUUUUCGAUAUUAUUUUUAGAGAGUAGAAUUUUAGUUGAUAAUUUUAGAUUCUCAAAGUUAGUUUUUCAGCAAUUCUAGAGAGAGAAACUCUCCUCCAUUCAAGCUUCAAUUUGUAAUCCUUCUAAACUCUUCUUCAAUUUUGCAAUUUAAUUCUUAGUU